rnacentral:rRNA from 1 species
GACGUCUAAUACCGGAUAGGACCCUGGAUCGCAUGAUCUGGGGUGGAAAGUUUUUCGGUCUGGGAUGGACUCGCGGCCUAUCAGCUUGUUGGUGAGGUAAUGGCUCACCAAGGCGUCGACGGGUAGCCGGCCUGAGAGGGUGACCGGCCACACUGGGACUGAGACACGGCCCAGACUCCUACGGGAGGCAGCAGUGGGGAAUAUUGCACAAUGGGCGAAAGCCUGAUGCAGCAACGCCGCGUGCGGGAUGACGGCCUUCGGGUUGUAAACCGCUUUUAGUAGGGAAGAAGGGCUUCGGCUUGACGGUACCUGCAGAAAAAGGACCGGCUAACUACGUGCCAGCAGCCGCGGUAAUAACGUAGGUCCGAGCGUUGUCCGGAAUUAUUGGGCGUAAAGAGUCGUAGGCGGUUUGUCGCGUCUGCUGUGAAAUCUGAGAGGCUCAACCUCCGCCUGCAGUGGGUACGGGCAGACUAGAGUGCGGUAGGGGAGAAUGGAAUUCCUGGUGUAGCGGUGGAGAUGCGCAGAUAUCAGGAGGAACACCGAUGGCGAAG